CGGAUGUGGCUCGAGCUGGAGGCGCGCAAGGCCGGAGACCUGCAGACCCGCUACCCGGAGCAGCUCGGAGGCGGUGAAUAAUAUCUCUUCAAGUCUGCAAUAAAAAAUGGCCUCCAAUAAAACUACAUUGCAAAAAAUGGGAAAGAAACAGAAUGGAAAGAGUAAAAAAGUUGAAGAGGCAGAGCCUGAGGAAUUUGUGGUGGAAGAAGUACUAGAUCGACGUGUAGUGAAUGGGAAAGUGGAAUAUUUCCUGAAGUGGAAGGGAUUUACAGAUGCUGACAAUACUUGGGAACCCGAAGUCCAGAGUUGAUUGAAGUGUUUCUUAAUUCUAAAAAAGCUGGCAAAGAAAAAGAUGGUACAAAAAGAAUUAUCUGACAGUGAAUCUGAUGACAGCAAAUCAAAGAAGAGAAGAGACGCUGCUGACAAACCAAGAGGAUUUGCCAGAGGUCUUGAUCAUGAAAGAAUAAUUGGUGCCACAGACAGCAGUGGAGAAUUGAUGUUUCUCAUGAAAUGGAAAGAUUCAGAUGAGGCAGACUUGGUGCUGGCAAAAGAGGCAAAUAUAAAGUGUCCUCAAAUUGUAAUUGGUUUUUAUGAAGAGAGACUAACUUGACAUUCUUGUCCAGAAGAUGAAGCUCAAUAAUUGUUCACAUUGUUUUUCAUAUAUACAUAUAUACAUACAUAUACACACACACACACACACACACACACACAUAUAUGUAAAUUUGGGCCUUGGUUUUUGAUUUACUAGUGAGACAAAAUGACUACAUCCUAAUGAAAAUCAAGUUUGAUAUGUUCAUUUUGAAAGUAGCAUUGAAAGAGUUGUUGGGGUUUUUGGUUUUUUGUUUUGUUUUUUUUCCAUCCAUAGCACUGGUUACUUUGAACAAAUAAAUAAAAGCUUUCUGUAGUUACUUCCUUGAUCAGAAAAGAACAUUUGUUACUAUGGUAUAUUAUUUCCUCUACAUUAAAGAACAGCUUUUCUAAAUA